GACGAACGCUGGCGGCGUGCUUAACACAUGCAAGUCGAACGGAAAGGCCCUGCUUUUGUGGGGUUCUCGAGUGGCGAACGGGUGAGUAACACGUGAGUAACCUGCCCUUGACUUUGGGAUAACUUCAGGAAACUGGGGCUAAUACCGGAUAGGAGCUCCUGCUGCAUGGGGGGGGUUGGAAAGUUUCGGCGGUUGGGGAUGGACUCGCGGCUUAUCAGCUUGUUGGUGGGGUAGUGGCUUACCAAGGCUUUGACGGGUAGCCGGCCUGAGAGGGUGACCGGCCACAUUGGGACUGAGAUACGGACCAGACUCCUACGGGAGGCAGCAGUGGGGAAUAUUGCACAAUGGGCGGAAGCCUGAUGCAGAAACGCCGCGUGCGGGAUGACGGCCUUCGGGUUGUAAACCGCUUUCGCCUGUGACGAAGCGUGAGUGACGGUAAUGGGUAAAGAAGCACCGGCUAACUACGUG
rnacentral:rRNA from 1 species